rnacentral:rRNA from 1 species
AUUAGGAAUCUUGCGCAAUGGGCGAAAGCCUGACGCAGCGACGCCGCGUGGAGGAGGAAGGCCUUCGGGUUGUAAACUCCUUUUGUCGAGGAAGAAACAAAUGACGGUACUCGACGAAUAAGCCCCGGCUAACUCCGUGCCAGCAGCCGCGGUAAUACGGAGGGGGCGAGCGUUGUCCGAAGUUACUGGGCGUAAAGCGCGCGUAGGUGGGAGCAUAAGUCCGCUGUGAAAGCCCGAGGCUCAACCUCGGAGGGUCGGUGGAUACUGUGCUUCUUGAAGGUGCUAGGGGAAGAUGGAAUUACCAGUGUAGCGGUGAAAUGCGUAGAUAUUGGUAGGAACACCAGUGGCGAAGGCGGUCUUCUGGGGCACUCUUGACGCUGAGGCGCGAAAGCUGGGGGAGCGAACGG